rnacentral:antisense_RNA from 1 species
GGAGAGACGACAUUGCUCACAUUGCUUCCGGUAUUAAUUUGCCAGCCUUCGGGGCUGGCUUUUUUU